AUGGCUAGCAGUUGGUGCACCAAGAUACCCCUAAUCAUUGGCACACAUGUAUUUCCGUGUGACCUAAUUAUCUUGGAGUCGCAAGGAUUGGAUGUGAUAUUAGGAAUGGACUGGAUGUCGAAGUAUGGAGGAAGUAUUGACUGUGCUAGUAAGUCAAUUUACCUUACCACCCCGGAGGGAAAAAGGAUUAAGUAUGUAUCUAGGCAUGUGCCUAGGAGGAUCCAAGUAAACGCCCUCACGGGAGUUGUACAGGAGGAAGUACCUGUAGUAAAGGAUUUUCCGGAUGUUUCCCCCGAAGAGUUACCAGGUAUGCCACCGGAUAGAGACAUCGAGUUUUUGAUAGAGCUAUUGCCAGGUACAGGGCCGAUAUCCAAGAGACCCUAUCGGAUGCCAGCAAAUGACCUGGCGGAAAUUAAGAAGCAGAUCAAAGAGUUGUUGGAGAAAGGUUACAUUCGUAGAAGUUCAUCACCUUGGGGAGCCCCAGUACUUUUGGUGGAGAAGAAGGAUAAAUCCCUGAGGAUGGUCGUUGAUUACCGAGCUCUGAAUGAAGUAAUGAUAAAGAACAAGUGUCCUUUACCAAUGAUUAAUGAUCUGUUUGAUCAGUUACAAGGAGCUAAGGUGUUUUCAAAGAUUGAUCUACGAUCAGGAUACCAUCAGUUGAAGAUCCGAGAGAAGGAUAUACCAAAGACAACGUUUACCACGCGGUAUGGAUUAUAUGAGUACACGGUCAUGUCAUUUGGACUGACUAACGCCCCUGCCUAUUUCAUGAGUAUGAUGAAGAAGGUGUUCAUGGAGUAUUUGGACAAGUUUGUUGUGGUAUUUAUUGAUGAUAUUAUGAUAUACUCGAAGAAUGAAGAGGAGCAUGCGGAACACUUGCAUUUGGUUCUCGAGAAACUCAGGGAACACCAGUUAUACGCCAAAUUCAGCAAGUGUGAGUUUUGGUUGAAAGAAGUUGGAUUUCUUGGGCAUGUUAUAUCAGGAGAGGGUAUAGCAGUGGAUCCCAGUAAGGUUCAGUCGGUCACUGAAUGGUUGGCACCCACUUCAGUUGGCGAGAUCCGCAAUUUCCUUGGACUCGCAGGAUAUUAUCGGAGAUUCAUUGAGAAUUUUUCCAAGAUUGCUAAACCAAUGACUGAAUUGUUAAAGAAGGAUACUAAGUUCAAAUGGACGGAGGAUUGCGAGACAAGUUUUCAAGAGCUGAAGGAACGAUUGACUACAGCCCCAGUGCUGACCUUGCCAGAUAUACGUAAGGAGUUUCAAGUGUAUUGUGACGCCUCUCGCUUGGGACUUGGAUGUGUGCUUAUGCAGGAAGGAAAAGUUGUUUCGUAUGCCUCACGACAACUAAAGCCACACGAGUUGAACUAUGCCACACAUGAUCUGGAGUUAGCAGCCGUAGUGCAUGCACUGAAGUCCUGGAGACAUUAUCUUAUUGGAAACCGUUGCGAUGUGUACACGGAUCAUAAGAGCUUGAAGUACAUUUUCACCCAGAAGGAGUUGAACCUCAGACAGAGGAGAUGGUUGGAACUUAUAAAGGAUUACAAUAUGAAGCUACACUAUCAUCCAGGAAAAGCCAACAUCAUAGCAGACGCUUUGAGCCGGAAAAGUUAUGCUAAUGUUCUUGUGAGCAAAGGAAUGCCAAAAGAGUUAGCUGCGGAGAUCAUGAAACUUCGGUUGGAGAUUGUUCCAAAAGGCUUUCUUACAGCAAUGGAGGUUCAGUCGACGUUGUUGGACAAGAUUCGAGAAGCUCAGAAGGAGGACAAAGAGAUUGCUGAGAUAAGAGAGAGGAUGGGCGAAGGUAAAGCCAAAGGUUUUCGUGAGGAUGAGCACGAUACCUUGUGGUUUGAGGACCGGAUUUAUGUGCCCAACAAUUCGGAGAUCAGGAAGUUGAUACUUUAG
rnacentral:rRNA from 1 species